GCAGGGAGAGCCCGGGUCCGUCCGGGGCUCUGUGACCAUCCAUUUCCAGCCGUGCAGCGGAUCCAGGUGUGCCCGCAUCCCUCGGGAACGAGCUGUCCGCACUCCGGCAUUUCUCACCCCCAGCCCCGCAUGAACCCCGGCACAGCGAGGGCAGCUCAGCCCCAGGAACGCCGACUUUGCAGAGCUGUUUGGGCUCCACCAGUCUUAAAAUUAGCACAGAUUAUUAUUAUUACUACUACUACUACCACUACUAUUAUUUCCUGUUGCUUUGAUGGCUGUUCUGAAGCCCAGCCAAGUGCACAGAGCAGCAUCACUUUGCCUUGGGGAAGCAGCAGCAGCAGCAGCAGCAGCAGCAGCAGCCGAGCAGGAGCGCGUGGCUGGAGCUGCGGCUGGGCUCUC